UACUCGCGGUCCAAGUCGCAGCCAUUUUUAUUGGGUCUAAAACAUCCGUAGCUUGCUUGGUAAGUUCCUUGUGAAAUUCCAUAUCUCAAAUAUGGAGCGCGCAGGGAGUACUGCCAAGCUAGAGACUGGAAGACGGAACGAGUACGUUUAAAGUAGCGGUAAAAUGUGUUAAUCUUAAACGGACUAACAAUAGCGAAGGCACGUUCCGAGGACAGUUCUGACAGUAAGGGAUGAAGGCUAGGGGCGCAAAACGGAUUAGAUACCCGUGUAGUCCUAGCAGUAAACACUGCACACUAAACACCAGUACCUCCUCGAGAGGUAUUGGUGCUGAAGGGAAGCCGAAGAGUGUGCUACCUGGGAAGUAUAGUCGCAAGGCCGAAACUUAAAGGAAUUGGCGGGGAGACACUACAACGAGUGACGCGUGCGGUUCAAUUAGAUUCUACACCGUGAACCUCACCAGGAGCGACAGCAGAAUGAAGGUCAGUCUGAAGGGCUUACCUGACACGAUGAGAUGAGCUGCAUGGCCGACGUCAGCCUGUGCCGUGAGGUGACCUGUUAAAUCAGGUAACAGGCAAGACCCCCCAUCCAUAUUUACUAAGUGUACAAUAUGGAGAUUGCCUUGGUAACGAGGAUGAAAGUUGGGGCUACGUUAGGUGAGUACAGCCAGAAUCCCCCUGGGCAACACGCGCGCGUCAAAUGGGUGGAUACAACGGGAUGCGACACCGAAAGGUGAAGCUAAUCUCUUAAAGUCCAUCUUAGUUCAGAUCGAGGUUUGUAACUCAGCCUCGUGACGCUGGAAUUCGUAGUAAUCGUUUGUCAUCAACGAACGGUGAAUAUGUCACUGUCUCUUUGCACACAACCGCCCGUCGUAUACU
rnacentral:rRNA from 1 species